rnacentral:rRNA from 1 species
UACGAAGGGGGCUAGCGUUGCUCGGAAUCACUGGGCGUAAAGGGUGCGUAGGCGGGUCUUUAAGUCAGGGGUGAAAUCCUGGAGCUCAACUCCAGAACUGCCUUGAUACUGAAGAUCUUGAGUUCGGGAGAGGUGAGUGGAACUGCGAGUGUAGAGGUGAAAUUCGUAGAUAUUCGCAAGAACACCAGUGGCGAAGGCGGCGACCUGGACAGAUAUUGACGCUGAGGUGCGAAAGCGUGGGAGCAACAGG